rnacentral:RNase_P_RNA from 1 species
GGAGUCGGCCAGGCAACCGCUGUUUUUGCAAGAAGACAGAGGAAAGUCCGGGCUCCACAGGGCGCGGCGCCAGGUAAUGCCUGGGGGGCGUGAGCCCACGGAAAGUGCAACAGAGAGCAGACCGCCCAAGCGUGCGUAAGCACGACGGCAAGGGUGAAACGGUGCGGUAAGAGCGCACCGCGGCGCCGGUAACGGCGACGGCACGGCAAACCCCGCCGGGAGCAAGGCCAAAUAGGGAAGCACGCGGCGCAAGCCGCAGCGCGCGGCCCGCGCGCGCUUCCGGGUAGGCCGCUUGAGGUGCGCGGUGACGCGCAUCCCAGAGGAAUGGUUGCCCACGACAGAACCCGGCUUAUCGGCCGACUCCCACC